GAGAAGGGGUAGAGACGGGUGCACUGUGCAGAGGGAAUUUUUUUUUCAGCGCCGGAUCCUGCAGAGGGGCGAGGCGCUCUAUUUUGUUUUGUGGAAAUCGGCAAUUAUUUCUAGUUGGAUCAAUGGGCAUAAUUUCUGAGAGGUCGGGUGGGUCUGCGUAAGCUUCUACGCGCAUUUGGAAACCCAUUGGGUUUUGAGUUACGAAACCGCACAGACUUUCUCCCACCCCAGCGGCUCCGGGCAAUAAGCUAGGCCUGCCCUACACGGAGCAAGCGAGCGUCAGGCCUUCCCGAGGGUAAGUUUCUCCUCCCGCCGCCCCCACCCCAACCCCCGCGUUGCGGGCCCCAGGAGAGCCAGACAUUCCAUCUGAACUUGUCCUGGGGUUUUGCGAUCCCUGAAACUUUAGGAUUCCCAGAAGCAUGACCCGGUUCUGGUCGCAGUCCACCGAGGAUUGGAGCGGCAGUGACACGGGCGGCCCUGCAGCGGUAGAGCCAAGGUCAGGCCCCAAGGGACAGCGGGGCAGCAGCCUGCAGCACAGAUGCAGGACACCAGCGUGCAUCCCUGUUCUCUUCCCCAAGAGUCCAGGCUGCCCGGCCUGGUGCUCCAGCUUUGCUUUCGUUUCCCAGGCGAACGAGCCCCAAAUUCACGUUUUCACCCAAGAAUGCAAUCCAGAAUCCUUGUCCCCGUAUUCGAGUAGGGUGACCAGGAGAACCGAGGUGGGGGCAGGAAACCCAGACCGAGGGUGCCCCGCGAGUGGGCCGAGUUCCUUUCACUUUCCCCCAUUGCUCCGCAAUUUCGGGUGCAACUACCUGGGCCAAGCCCAGCUUCAGAGACUGGCCCCGUGCUCUGGAGAAAGCAACCACCACGGGAAGAGACUGCAGCCUCAGCGUCUCCUUGUCCGCUUCACCCUCAUCCUCUGUGCGGGAGAGGGCAGCAACAUACACGCCUGGCACCUUCCUUCUUUCCAAGAGUUGCGCUUUCCUAACCCUGCUCCCCGCUGGUUUUUCUCAUACUUCCUUGCCCCCUUUUGCAAAAUUUCCGCCUUGAUCUUAAAUACCUCGAAAGAUAGGAAGACCCGGAAUUCUAUUAAAACAAAACAAAACGUAAUGA
rnacentral:lncRNA from 1 species